rnacentral:rRNA from 1 species
UACAGAGGGUGCAAGCGUUAAUCGGAAUUACUGGGCGUAAAGCGUGCGCAGGCGGUUUUAUAAGCCAGAUGUGAAAUCCCCGGGCUUAACCUGGGAAUGGCAUUUGGGACUGUAAGGCUAGAGUACGGCAGAGGAGACUAGAAUUCCUGGUGUAGCAGUGAAAUGCGUAGAUAUCAGGAGGAAUACCGAUGGCGAAGGCAGGUCUCUGGGUCGAUACUGACGCUCAUGCACGAAAGCGUGGGGAGCAAACAGG